rnacentral:rRNA from 1 species
UCAGUUCGGAUUGCAGGCUGCAACUCGCCUGUAUGAAGUCGGAAUUGCUAGUAAUCGUGGAUCAGCAUGCCACGGUGAAUACGUUCCCGGGCCUUGUACACACCGCCCGUCACACCAUGAGAGCCGGGAACACCCGAAGUCCGUAGUCUAACCUAUAUGGAGGACGCGGCGAAGGUGGGUUUGGUAAUUGGGGUGAAGUCGUAACAAGGUACC